GCGGGAGUAGCUCAGGGGUAGAGCAUCAGCUUCCCAAGCUGAGGGNNCGCGGGUUCGAAUCCCGUUUCCCGCUCAA
rnacentral:tRNA from 1 species